rnacentral:lncRNA from 1 species
GAGAGCUACCAGCUAUCCCAUGAUGCAAGCUUAGCCAAUCCAAGCUCUUCUUUGGGUGGUACUAGAGGCAGUAAAUCAGGAAAGGGCUCAUCCAGUUUCCUCUGAUGUCACCAACACCCUUUCAUAGUGGAGGAAGCCUGUCUGAAGCACCAGAGUAGCCAGAAGGAGAAGAGGAGAGAAGGUCCAAAUACCUACAUCCAGAUCUACUCACGUUUGCUCCAGACAAUUCUUAGUGGCCCUCUGGGAUGCAGAGAACCCAACCAGGGUCCUCUACAAUUCAAGCGCUCUUAACCACUGAGCCACCUCUCCAGACUCACAUAGAGGUUUGUCACAACCCACAGGUUGAGAACCGCUGCUUUAGAACAUCCUGCAUCUUAAAAUGGACUGUUUCAUCUCAGAGGAAAUUGCUACAUGACAAGUGCCAAGUAACCUUUCCUGCUAAGUGUGGCUAUUCUUUCGCGUUCCAGGAAAGCUGGAGAUGGUAGCUUCCUAAGGAGUAAUGGCAAUGAAGACUUUUCCUAUCUUACUACAUCAUUCGGUCUGUCCUUGUGCAGUGAGAAUCAUGAGUUCGAGAUUAGAAUGGGUAACAUGCAAGACUCUUGUCGCCAGGAAAAUAUCCUUUGAUCUGCCUUGUACUUUGGACAGCUCUUUUACAUAAGCGUGAUUUUGUAAGAGGCAUGAAACCAUUUGGAAAAUUCUGCUUGACCAAUGUAUACAGUUCUCUCUCUCUCUCUCUCUCUCUCUCUCUCCCUCUCUCUC